CGCUGACCGGAAAACGCUUGCACGUGUAUCAAACUAAAAUGGCGGACGAAGUGUGGUGUUAUGUUUUUCUAAUAUUUUGUUAUGGUUGAUCUGGUUUUAAGAUGAAGAAGCCAAAGAAAAUAUAUCGUCAAAAGCUUCAGGUUGAAGAGUCUCUUGUCAAUAAAUUAGAAGCACUCAUAGCCAUUGAGUCAAGAAAGGAUGGUGAAAAUCACCCCUUACUGAAGCUGAUUCUAGAUUGUAUGCACGAGGAGUCGAGUUUACAGCAAACUGCUUUGAUAAAAGAGGUUGGCAAAGCCUUACAGUCCAAGGAAUACUGUGAAUGUGAUCCUGCUGUCUCAGUGUGUCUUCAAAUUUUAAGUGAAAUAUUUACUCAGUGUGAUGCCAAGAACCCAGCAAGGCAUGCUCUUGCAAGUACAUUGGAUGGUUUAUCAGAUUCCUUAAGGAAGUUGGCUUGUGAGAAGCUUGGCCAAUCAGUUAUACAUAAAGCAGGAAACAUUGAACAAAUGAAUACUGGUUAUUGUGUAACACCAGUGGUUAUGAGAGGAAUGGUCGACACUAUUUCAUCACUGAUGGAGAACUUCAAACUGGGCGAGGAGGUUAUUAAAAAUAAUGGAAGAAAAGUUUUGCAGUUUCUUUCCUGCUGUCUUCAAUGUUUUGUGGCAAAAUCAAGCUUUACCGAUGUACCGACAGAGCAGACAACCAGGAUGAUGGACUGUCUUGUGACAACGAAAACUAUCAUUGCAGUCAUACAGAACUGCAAGGCAGAAGCUGGCCAAACAGAGGCAGCAACCAGUCCACGGAUAGAUGAAGAGUGUAUAGGAGAUCUCAAGUGUAUUCUAACAGAACUUAUCUGCAUUCUUAAUAAUGACUUUAUACCAGACUGUCAGACCGCAAGCGGGAUGGCCAUCUGCCUGGUUCUCAGUGUCAUCUUAGGGUCUGACAAGCUUGUGUUGUCUAUAAUCCAGCUGUUUUUCCUUGAUCAUUGCCAUGGAAACAAGUGCAAUGGAAACAGUUCGGAUGGCACUGCAGACUUUCUGUCAGGUCUAGUGAGAAGACCUGAUGGCUUUUCACAUCUGUGUCUAUGUCAUGGCCUUCUGACUAUGCUACCUGUGAACAAUUUAAUAGAGAAGGUGAUGGUGGAUGAACAACCAAUAACCUUGUUGUUUGAUGUGCUAUUCCAGGAUUUGUACCACUUAUGUAAGAGUGUCAAAGAUCCAACAUUUUGUCUUCAAUCAUUUCGAGUACUGGCUUUGUGGACUGAGCAAGCUAGGAAUGUAGCAUCCAGUACUGGUAAAACCUAUACUCAGUUGUUAGGUUUGUCGCCCAUACCGCAAAAGCUUUUGUCACUUGUGUGGAGCAACUGGGACCACCCAACAGAGGGGGUGCGGCACGUGACCAAAGCAAUAUUUGAAAAUGUUGUUGCCGUUCACGUCUCUGUCUCAACAUAUGUUCCAACUGAGGAUCGAUUCUUGGAAUGCCUUGCAGAGUUACUGAUUGAUCAGGACUGGCAUGUCAGAGGGAAAUAUGGCCCAUUGUGUUGCAUUGCUUCUGUUUUAGGAGCUAAGUGCAUCCUAGGAAGGCAUCCAGGUUUGCCUUCUAAAGUUCUUGCCGCGAUGAACGAUAAAAACAUUGCCCCACAUGCCAUGGACUUCAUUGAAAAGAUGAGUUUCAUCCACAAAGAGGAACUAAUCUCUUCCGAGAAGAGUCUUAAUGAUUGGUUUGAGGCAUGGGUGGGCCCAGUGCUUGUUCAUCUGUGUGGUGACUAUAACAGGAGAGUCAUCCUUACUCAGCAUUGUCUACCGAAACUACUAAAGUGCUGCCCUGAGAGUCUUCACAUCAUGAUUACACAGCUGCAGUCUGCAGGAACACGUUGUGAAAAUGUAAAGGCGCUAGUCACGUGUCUUAAGACUGCAAGGAGCCUGGGGUUGGUGAAAGUUAACGAGGAGAGCUGGACCGAGAGAGAAGUAAUGUCAGAUGUGUGGGGAGGGGUAGUGUCUGUUGACGUCCUGCAGAAAGCUCUUUGUCACACAGAUGAUCAGUGCCGUCUAGACGCCCUAGGCCUUUUGUGCGACAGCCCUCGCACGACAGAGUCCGUUAGCGUGACAGAUAUGCGCCUCUUGAAGACCUUUCUACAACUUAACAUCAAUAGCCAAUCACCCUCGUUCAGGCAGCAAAGCGCUGCACUCCUGAAAAAGCUGCUCCUUAGGAUGAGGGAAGGUGUUCGUCUCUCUGUGCGCAAUCUGGACAGAGACAAAAAUAUAGAGCUCCACAAAUACAAGCUUCACGCAUACACGCGUUUCCUUCAAUGGUACAGCAACCUGCUCUUUUCAUCACUGUUUCCUGGAGCCUCGUUUGCACGUCUCACUACAUCCCUUCACGGACUGAAGCUGCUCGCCUCCAUAUUCACGGACAGCGAUUCCAAAUAUGGCUCGUUUCAUUUUCAUGACGUCAUGCACCCUUGUAACAUCCGGGGCCUGAUGAAAUGCUUCAGCGACACAUAUGACGUCAACAAACAGUUGGCAUACGACCUGCUAACGUCAUGUCCACGUGACUUUCUACCAUUUCAGAGUGCUGAGUCCUUAGAACCCUUGCUUUUGAUGGUAGAGCAACUUGUUACCAGUCCCCGCGCCGUCGACGCGUCCACAGCUAGCGUGUACUUAAAGAUCCUUGUAGACCGCUGUAUGGUGCCUUUGUAUCCUGAGAGUGCCACUGAGUACCUUGCUGGGGACCCAAAGACCACAAGGAUCUCCGACAAUCCUCUCAACCAGCGGCAAGCGUUUAGCGUAUUGUCUGCUCUCCUAUCAACCCUGACGUCACAGGCCUCAGUUGCCAAUGAGAGUCUCGUUCUUGCGGCAGCACGUGCCCCAAUGCACGGCGCGGUGUUUUGCUUACGUACACUGCUCACGCACGUGAAUCUAAGAAAUGUGGAAAGUGCAGGUUCUUGGAAGCAUCUAGUUUCCAGGCUGCUGACUGAGCUAUUCGUUGUCGCUGAGUUGGUUUUUCCGGUCGUUACCAGUUCCUCUCCUGAAGGUCAUGUGAUUGAUGACAGCAUUAAUGAUGAUGUUGUUGCCGCCUCAGCUGAAAAAAGUCCCGUAUUCACGCCCUCGUCCCAGGCCCUUCUCGUAUGCUGUUGGCGCACUAUGAAGGAGGUUGCACUUCUCCUUGGAGACCUGGUACAGAAUGUUUCUGAUGACUCAGGUCUUCUGACGGCGGAUCAGGUCAAGAGGAUCGGGGAUUUCUUCACUGCAGUGUUGCUGACCAGUAAACAUCGCGGAGCGUUUGAGCUGGCAUACACUGGCUUUAUGAAGUUAUGUGAAGUGCUAUGGAGAUGCAGAGACGCAGAUCUUCGAGGCCUCCCGCUAGCCUGGUUGGAUGGACUCAUGUCCGAUAUCUCGACCACCGUUCCGUCCGAUUUCCUUAGUGGCACAAGACGCAGUGCAGGAGUACCCUUUUUUGUACAGGCGGUUGUUACCACUGAGCCGUUUGCAGCUGGAAAAGCGUCAUUCAAGCGAGUUAUGCGAGAUCUUCUCCACGCGGCUUCACUCCCUGUGGAACCAUCCCUACCUCAAGACUCAAGUCUUCCUCAGGUUCACUCGCGCAAUAUUCUACGCGCAUUGUACCGCGACACAAGGCUUGGAGAAGACGUGUCUCCCUUUGUGGCUGACGGGCUCAUUGCAUCAAUCAGCGGUUUCACCUCGAGCAGCUGGGCAGUUCGCAACUCGUCGACUCUACUGUUCAGUGCCCUCGUGACCAGGGUGUUCGGUGUCGCCAAGGCCAAAGAUGACCAUUCCAGGAGAAACUGCAUGACCGGUCGAGAGUUUUUCAGCAGAUAUCCCAGCAUGCACCCAUUUCUUUUAAAACAUCUUGAGAAAGCGACAGAGUUCCUCAACAGGGAAGAGUCGGUUACUCUUCAUCCCUGUCUCUACCCGGUCCUUGUACUACUCUCCAGGCUCUACCCGUCGUCAAUGGACGGUGUAGACUCGACGCUAAACAUGAGCCCUUUUAUUCCUUACGUCAUAAGGUGUGCAGGAAGUGCCGUAAUGAAGACGCGACUCAUGGCCGCACGAGCCAUCGUUCCUUUGGUCAGUAAGGACUGCCUUGUCCAGGUCCUGGAGCGGCUUCUACACUCAAUCCCACCAAGUCGUCAAAGCUGCCGACAGAAUGUCUUGCACGGGACAUUACUUCAAAUCCUCCAUCUUCUACUGCACUUGGCAGAGAACCGAUCCCUCAGUGAACUUAUGACUAGUGACGUCAUGCCCAUGGUCGAGAAGAUCGUGUGGACUGGAACCAAGGAGAAUCCGUGCUAUCUUACACGAGCAGUUUUCCUCGACAUCGCCCAUACUCUUAUUAAUAGCAAUCCCUGGGCUCACGGCGACUCUUCACCCGUCGCGGAGAAGACCCGGAUAUCGCGAAUGCGAAAAUUCAUCACCAAUAUCGCUUCAGAAGUCACGUCAGAAAAUUCAUUUUACACGCAAUCGGUUGCCAUUGGUGAUGUCUUCCUUAAAGAAAUUGCUGCGACUAUAUGUCUUAAUGGCGGAGACGAGACAGAAGACCUUUUCACACAAGAGGGAAAAACUUCUGCAAAAGAAGCAAAGAAUUCUAACUGCAAACGCAACAGCUGUGAAGUGAAGGCGGUCAAGUUCACAGAUUCUAAAAAACUUGAAAACGUUUCAUUGCACAGCGACGGAAUUAUUUCUAAGAAAGAAGAUUCUGGAAACGGACGCAACAGCUUUGAAAUGUCUAUAUUGGAGAAAAAAAAUUCUAUUAAGGAGCCGCUGGAAUCCUCUUUCCGUAUGCUGAAUUUGUCUGAAAAAAGCCCAGUGGAAGUUGCAUCGUGUCUCCUCGAUUCGCCUGAAUACGAAGUGCGCUUACUUGCUCUGGAUACCCUCUCACGCAAGGCGGUCACAUCAGCCAGUGACAUCCCCAAAGAUGAUCUUACUCAGCACUCUCCAUUCCGCGGAAGAGAGAUUCAAGCUUGGCAUGACGUCACAAAAUCUUUGCUUGAAAUGGCGAUGGGGAGGGAGCAGCAUGUUGAUUGUCUAAGCAAGGUUUACGAAGUCCUGGCUUUAGUUGGUGACUCUUCGAGGUUUCCAGAGACCAUAGAAAGUACAUGCUGCAUCACAUUUAAUGAGUGUUGGCAGUAUUCAAUACAGCUGGCCCUUAAACCAGGUCAGAGGGACAGUGUUCGAUGUGCGAUAUUGGCUUUCCUUUCUUCGUUGGUUCCGCAGAUGUAUGAAAGCCUGGCUAUGGUAAGCAUCUCGCCCACCUGAUACUCACUAGUUCAAGCUUGGGUUUCAAAUAAUGAUAACGUUGUACGUAACACAGUCCAUUAAAAGGGGCUUACCUACAAUGUAUUGCUUUCACAACCAUUUUCAAUGCCAACAAAUAUCAGGACGUCUCAAAUUCUUAGAAGCCUGUAAUGGAGGUUUGUACAAUUAGACUGGGAGUAGAACAUCUCGGAAAGCCGUAAAAACGCUUUGAAAUGACUUAAGGAUGAUCGAUUAACGCAAUAACAACGAAAUGCAUUGAAGGAAAGAUGGUUUCAUCCUAGCUAGAGCAUCCUCUGACCAGGCUUGCACCUACCAUUUCUUGUUCUUAGGGUAAUUCAUCAGAGGAAGUGACAUAUCUAGAUCUUGUUAAAGCCAUGAGUGCGGUUGAUGCGAGUCUCGAUGUGCGCCUUCAGACUGCUGAAGCUUUUUCCCGCGGUGUAUCAAGAUUAUUGCUGCUCGAUCCGCAGAAUAAGCUAGGCCGUACCCCAUUGGAAUUCUGGGACGUCGUUGUAUUCCUUCUCCAUGAUGAUGAUCCUGGCGUCAAAGAGGCCUUGGCGGAAGUGACGUCACUACUCUACCUUCGAGGGGGUGAUUAUUCCUCCGUGCUUCCCCCGUGCCCUAAUAAUAAACCUUUAACUCUCAGGUGAUUAUUCCCCCGUGCCCUGAUAAUAAACCUUUACCUCCCCCGUGCCCAAUAGUAAACCUUUACCUCUCAGGUGAUAUUCCCCCGUGCUUCCCUCGUGCCCUAAUAAUAAACCUUUAACUCUCAGGUGAUUAUUCCCCCGUGCUUUCCCUGUGCCCUGAUAAUAAACCUUUACCUCUCAAGUGAUUAUUCCCCCGUGCCCUAAUAAUAAACCUUUAACUAUCAGGUGAUUAUUCCUCCGUGCCCUAAUAAUAAACCUUUUCCUUUCAGGUGAUUAUUCCCCCCUGUUUCCUUUGUUCCAGGCCAGUUACCAGGAUCACGGUUGUCAGUUUAUCUAUUGUUGAAGAGGGGGGUCGGUUGAACCGUAUUCAGCAGGUUUACACACGAAUCACGGAUCUUCCGCAGUUAUUGUCUCACGCAUUGGUGCAGGCGCGACUGGAAGAAAUACGUGACUUAUAUGGAAUUGGACAGUAGAGUCAUCAGAGCAUCAGGGCAUGGUCAAAUGGUUAUUGUGCCUUGAAUAACAUAACUUGUUUUAGAGAAUUUAAUUAUACUUUAAAAUCUUACAAUAUCUUACUUACUUGACCCUAGUUUGAGGUUGCCGGUUUUAUACAGUUUAAUAGUAGGCAAUAACACUUAGUAGCACCUUGUAGCACCCGAAAAGUCGGCUAGAAAUUGACCUCGCAAAUUUCGCAGUUGAAAAAUGGUUGCGGGAUUGAAAUCCCGUGUGAUCCGAGUUGUGCAUUUCGCAUAGACGUCUUUCCCAUUCUGUGGGACGCGUGUUGUGAACACUACUGGAUUCCACUCGUGCAAGUUUGGCACAGGAAACGUUCAGGGCUGCUCACUGAUUACCAUAUGUGGCGCUGGCCUGGGGCGAAUACUCAACUUCUAAUUUCUGACAAGAACUAGACCCCUCACCAUGUAACGAUAAACAAAUGUGCUAGGAUAUAAAAUCAAUCAA